GAGGGCGCUUCCGGCACAGCGGAACUCCGGGUGCCGGUUGAGGUUGCUGGUGGACCUGCUCUGGUGGUCUUGGAUGAGGCCCCAUGAGCGCGGCGCCCCUGGUGGGCUACAGCAGCAGCGGCUCCGAGGAUGAGUGCCAGAAGCCCAUGCCAGAAGCCCAACCCAAAGUGGCUUAAACCAAAGAGAAAUUUAUAGGCUGGUAUAACUAAAAGAUUCAGAGGUAGCACUGGCUCAUGCAUGAGUGGACCGGGGUGACAAGAUAUCAGAUGGCACCUGACUGUCACCACCACAGGCAGACUGUUCACCAUCUCAGCUCUGUCCCCUUCCUUUGUCACAAUGACGAAGCCACCGCAUCUCCCGGCUAAUGGUGUACCAGCCUGGAAAGACAGCCUCCCUCUCUGAUUGGCUUCAGCACAAGUCACAGGAAUGACUGCCUGGUCUGACCCGUCUCCUGUGUGCUUUCUUUGGGAGUAAAGAGUUAACAGGCCCUUCCCCCUUCCACAGAGAGUGCUUCCCUUAUCCUGCGGAAGCUCUGCCCCUGGAUGAAGGAGGAGAGCGGCUAUGUUAGUGCUGAUGACUGGCACACUGCACUUGCGCUAGGAAGACAGCAUGAACUGCACCCCUCCAGGGAAGCCACGGCCUGGGCUCCCCUGCAUACAGUGGUUCCUUAACUGGGCACGAGUCCCUUGCUGGGACUUAGGAAAACUCUGCCUAAAGUCCAUUGCAAGAAAUACUGAUCCCUGUGGGAUGUAUAUGUGGCUGGUUCCCUUGCUCACUGAGAGACUAGAAAACAGCACCUGGACCCCUGGGCUGGUUCCCUCUGAGGAAAGGAUCUGUGUCAUGAGUGAAGCCCGGGCAGGUGUGGUCUGUUCAACUUUGAUCAUCUGGUUGAGCCUAAGGUGACCAAGAGUGGGCGGUGCACCCCUGAUUCUGUUGCUGUGACUGAGGAAAUGCUAAGCUCUGUUUGGCCAGGCCUGGGCAGCCUGCCUCUGGAGUAGGGGUGGAGAGCCAUCCUGCAACACGAGGUUACCAGGAGAAGGAGUUUUGGUUGGGCACAGACAUCCAGUGUCCACUCCAGGAUGUUUGGGAGACACCUUGAGAACUCUUCCUAAAAGCUGCACUUAACCAAGCUCCUGGUGGUUCUGUGAUCCCUUACAUUUUCUCCAGAGGCAGAGAGUUGGCUGACUGACUUUUGCCCUUGGGCAGAUUGUGAGGCUCUACCCAGCAUGCUGGUAUAUUAUGUUCCCUCAGAUGGGGGUGAGACCCUUGGCCUGGGGGCUGUAAAAUGAUCUGUUUCUGUGAGGAGACUUUCCAUGGUGAGAUUGCUAGUGUCUCAGAGAAUAAAGGACAGAACCAGUCCAAGUC
rnacentral:lncRNA from 1 species